rnacentral:lncRNA from 10 species
GCAGGACAUCCAAAUGGAGAUGUACAGGAGGCAGUUAGAGAAAUAGGUCAUGUGCUUGGGAGAAAAUAAUAGUCCAGAAAUAUCAAUGACAUGUUUAGGAAACUUAUUGUGUGUCAUUGAGGGAUUAACAAAAGUGUGUGUGUGAUUUUAAAUCCUCAAUACAGAUACUUUACUUGUGAAAGAACCAGUGGCUGUCCUUAAGGCCAACAGAGUUUGGGGAGCAUUACGAGGUUUAGAGACCUUUAGCCAGUUAGUUUAUCAAGAUUCUUAUGGAACUUUCACCAUCAAUGAAUCCACCAUUAUUGAUUCUCCAAGGUUUUCUCACAGAGGAAUUUUGAUUGAUACAUCCAGACAUUAUCUGCCAGUUAAGAUUAUUCUUAAAACUCUGGAUGCCAUGGCUUUUAAUAAGUUUAAUGUUCUUCACUGG